rnacentral:rRNA from 1 species
UACGGGGGGGGCAAGCGUUGUUCGGAAUUACUGGGCGUAAAGGGCUCGUAGGUGGCCAACUAAGUCAGACGUGAAAUCCCUCGGCUUAACCGGGGAACUGCGUCUGAUACUGGAUGGCUUGAGUUCGGGAGAGGGAUGCGGAAUUCCAGGUGUAGCGGUGAAAUGCGUAGAUAUCUGGAGGAACACCGGUGGCGAGGGCGGCAUCCUGGACCGACACUGACACUGAGGAGCGAAAGCCAGGGGAGCAAACGGG